rnacentral:rRNA from 1 species
UUCCUACGGGACGCAGCAGUGAGGAAUAUUGGUCAAUGGCCGAGAGGCUGAACCAGCCAAGUCGCGUGAGGGAAGACGGCCCUACGGGUUGUAAACCUCUUUUGUCGGGGAGCAAAGCGAACCACGUGUGGUUCAUUGAGAGUACCCGAAGAAAAAGCAUCGGCUAACUCCGUGCCAGCAGCCGCGGUAAUACGGAGGAUGCGAGCGUUAUCCGGAUUUAUUGGGUUUAAAGGGUGCGUAGGCGGAUUUGUAAGUCAGCGGUAAAAAUGCGGUGCUCAACGCCGUAUCGCCGUUGAAACUGCAGG